UAGGGAAUCUUCCACAAUGGACGCAAGUCUGAUGGAGCAACGCCGCGUGAGUGAAGAAGGUUUUCGGAUCGUAAAGCUCUGUUGUUGGUGAUGAAGGAUAGAGGUAGUAACUGGCCUUUAUUUGACGGUAAUCAACCAGAAAGUCACGGCUAACUACGUGCCAGCAGCCGCGGUAAUACGUAGGUGGCAAGCGUUGUCCGGAUUUAUUGGGCGUAAAGCGAGCGCAGGCGGAAGAAUAAGUCUGAUGUGAAAGCCCUCGGCUUAACCGAGGAACUGCAUCGGAAACUGUUUUUCUUGAGUGCAGAAGAGGAGAGUGGAAUUCCAUGUGUAGCGGUGGAAUGCGUAGAUAUAUGGAAGAACACCAGUGGCGAAGGCGACUCUCUGGUCUGCAACUGACGCUGAGGCUCGAAAGCAUGGGUAGCGAACAGG
rnacentral:rRNA from 1 species